ACAUUCAUUUUCUUCUCUCUCGUACACAACUACGUCCAUUGAUUCCCCAUUGACGGCCAUGCCUUUUUCCAAUCCGUGGUCCUGCUCCCAAUCCCGCCUGCUCCUCCGGCGAGCUCCCCGGCCGCCAUAAUCCUACCUCCAUGGCGAGCUCCUGCAGUCCCCCCUCCCCCCCUCAUCAGUCUCUUCUCCAGCUGCGAGCAACGGCGCGGCGCAUUUUUGCUGGAACCAACGCAUGAUGAUGAUGCAAUUGGCGCAGGCCGGCGAUGUGGCUACGGAUGUUGCAACCCCAGCCACUGUGCUGGAACGUCGGCGACGAUGUGACACAGAGAGAGAUGCUGGAUCCGACCAUGAAUUUUCUUGUUGGCCACCACGAUGCAAGCCAAUGGCCAAGGCGAGGCAGAGGCGGUGACGUCGGGGGCAUGCUGCAACCGUGCCGAACCUUGAUCUGGAACCAGUCGGGGGGCAUUCGAUCUGCAAUCCUUCGUUGACCGCGCGCUGGGGCCCACUGGUGGCCAUGAUGCAAUCCCGACGGCCACGGGCGGGGACGCGUCGGAGCUCGUCGGCGACGGUCCCGACGGCGACAAGUCGGAGGGAGGGGAGGGGGCGAUGCUCUGUGUGCAGGAGCGUGGAGAACAAAGGAAGAAGACGACUGUAGGGGGGCGUCAGAUCUGACAGCUGUAAAUGAAUGAAUCGGACGGAUGCGCUGCGACCGGCCCGCCGGCGCCUAUCACUGCCCUUUCAGGGAACAGGAUGAAAUUAGCGGGGUUUU